CGGUAAGGAGAAGGUUAGUCCCAUCAUGUAGUCAGCCGGCACUUCCUAGCUCCUCCUCCUCCUCCUUCUAGUCCUCCAUGUUACCUCAAGUGACACCCAGACAUAAUAAAGUGAGUUCUCGUGUACUCUUAUAACCUCUACUUAAUUUUGGGCGAGUUACACAUGACUCAAACCUUCGACACCUACCUAUUUGCGAGUAUUCUUCAAUGUCAAAAACCCCAGACACUCUAACUGAGGAAUGUACAGUAAAAAAACACACACACAAAAAAAAAAUCCGAUCCUCACGUCUCCAUAUAGUCUCUACUCUUGCCUCAGGUCAGUUACACCUUUAAUCAUGUACCUGUUUUAAGCAUUCUCCAAGGUCAGAUGGUAUACUGGGUAGUUCACCCUCGAUGAUGAAUGCACCGCCGGACAGGACACACCCGACCCCCGUGUAUCCACAUGACAGCUACGCUUGUUCUCGGGUCUGUUACACACCCUCUAAUCACCUCUUAUCUGCGAGCACUCUCCAAGGACAUAAACUCCGCACAGUCAGAUCAAUGGCCUAAAUCCCUCACCUAAAUUGAUAUCAGAACAGCCAAACCGGUCAACUCGUCCUCAUGUACUCGUAUCACCUAUUUUCAUGCCCUCAGGUCGCGGACACAGCUGAAAAUCAUCGACCUAUUUGUGAACACCUUCCAAGGCCAGACGCUCCAAUUAGUUUUAUCACGCCAGGAUUUUCACAACACGUUAUUGAGUGUUUGAUUGAUUACGGACCACGAGUCAGGCGAACGGGCAGACAACUUUUAUCCGUGCGCCAUUUUUUAGCACUCUUCCAAGGUCAAACUUCAGUCAGUUCAAUAACAUUAAAGACUCCACAACACGCCGCCAUUGAUUGCUUGAUUACCCGGGGAACAUAACUCAGGAGGCGAGUCAAUAAAUGCCAACACACAUAUCAUCAUCAUCAUCAUCAUUCCUCUCACAUAAGUGUUACAACAUCGACAAGCAGAAAAUCAAUUGGCUUGGAUAAUAAUAAUAAUAACCCGUGAUGACUUUUAUGCACCACAACACAAUGACUAAUACGUCUGAAAGAUGACAUUGCAAACAUAUUACCUUAAAAUAUCUUUAAAGUGGUUCAGUUAAUCGAAGUCAAGUCAACAUUUGUGUCAUGCCAAUGCAAAUUUUGAGAGGGGAAAAAAGGGGGGGGCGGGGGGUCAAGCUACUUAUGUUCUGGAGACAAAACUAUUACGUCAUUCCAAAGGGAGGGAGGGAGGGAGGGAGUCUGCGGAAGGCAACGUUAUCAGAUUAUAGUAUGCACAACAUUGUAUUUUCCGGUUUCUGGCCCAUAAAUAUUGCAAAAAAGAGCAUCAAUAAUUACCGAUUUAACAGUAAUUAUAAAUGCAUAUCGUUAUCUUUGUGGGUGCGAUAGUUUUUGGUCAGAAAUCGGCAAAAACAUUACGCCAAGUACGACAAUCUGGUAAUGUUGGCGGAAGGAGGUCAGGGGAUACUCAAAUGUCAGUCAGGCGCAUACACUACUGCCAUAAGGGGAAAAAGAGAAGGCCGUUAGAUGCAUCAUUCACGAGGGGAUAAUAAAUACAUAAGGAAAUAAAAAAAAACAUGCAGCAAACACGUGUCUGUCUCCCUCUCUCUCUCUCUCUCUCUCUCACACACACACACACACACACACACACCUUUAAACUCUCCUCAUCAUCAUAACCAUAAAAAAAAUCGCAUCGCCCGACACGCCACGCACAUCACUUCUUCGUAAAUCAACAACACGUGCUGAAUAAUAAACGGAGCGAACGCAAAUUGCCUGAAAUGGUAAACCCAACAUUAUCUUUCUCUUUUCAACCCAUCACACAAAACGAAAAUAAAUCACUGAGGAAUAAGAUAACGGCAAUAGAGAGGUAUACAUAAAUCGUCUCAUCUCAAAUGUAUGCAUAUAGCGGGGUUUUUUUCCUUCUUUUUUUUACGCCCUUGCACUGUCGCCUCUGCUGAAAAAAAAAAAAAAAAAAAAAAAAAAACUGACAGGCUAUACGCAAAGCCAAACCCGUCGCUGUAGUUAGACGCUUCCAUCCCUCACAUCAACUAUUUCCAAAGGCCAAAAAAGAGAUCAGUCGGGUCCUCAUGAGCGUUCUUUUAGGCUCAUGGUACAGAAGGGUCAAAUUACCACCAAGGUCAUAAAACUACCCCCAGAAAUGCCCCACAACUACAAAAGCCAAGUCGAAUAUUUGUGCUUGGGAGGCGAAAUGUGUAAGGAUAUGGCUCUUAGUACGGUGGUAAGAAACAAAAAAAGAAUGAAUAUAACGUUUAUGAGUCUAUGGCAGGCUGUCUCUACACAUAAAAGGUGCUAUGGUAAUAAAACAUCGCUAUUGACUGGAUCCUGCAUCAUCCCUUACUAUGAAAAAAAUACACCUUUCACAGCUCACGUAUUCUCAAUCUAUCAUCACCACAUUUUCUCCUCUCUUCUUUUCCUCCUCAGAGUAACUGGUUGCCUCCUUCUUCUUUUCCUCCUCCCUCCACACCCUCUCCUCCUCCCUCCACACCCUCUCCACCUCCUUCCACACCCUCUCCUCCUCCCUCCACACCCUCUCCUCCGACUUAACUCCGACACCCUAACUGAGGAUUGUACAGUCAAAAAAGGAAAACUCAGAUCCUCAAGUCUUCAUACUGUCUCUGCUCUUGUGAAUCUUGAUAAUAUAUAGCAAGAUAAGGUAAGUUGGGGGGCAUACGCUAUGGGUGCGCGUGGCCUCAGUGCUCAUCAUACAUACAUGGAUACAAAUAUACUCGUACACACACAUACGCGCGAACACACUCCCUCGGUCUUUCCUUCUCCUCUUCCACCCCCACCACUGUCCUCUCCACCACCACCACAGUUCUCAAACUCUACCACCACUGUCCUCAACCACCACCACCACUGACCUCCUUCACCUCCACCACUGUCCUCAACCCCCACCUACACCACCACCACUACCACUGUCCUCCACCACUACCACCACAUCUUCCACCCUCACCACCAUCACCAGUCUCCUUCACCAUCACCACCACCUCGAGGCAACACCCAAAACCCAUCACCACCCGGAGGUCCUAUAGAAUGCAGACAAUAAACACCUCAGUUAAUCAAUCACUUCCCCCCCUCCCCCUCCCCCUCCACCCCCCCCUUCGUGACCUUGCUUGGAAGACGAGUGGGCGUUCGGGUGCGAGGGAAGGAGGGAGGGAGGAGGGGGGGGGUUGAAAGUCUCAGAAAAAGGAAUAUUGGUUUUCUAUCUCUUUUUUUCUCUUUUUCUACGUCUUUUCUAUGAUUUCCUCUUAUUGGCUUCGUUUCCUCUUUCUUUCUCUCUCUCUCUUUCUUUUCUUAUCUUCUUUCCUCUCUAUCCCUCUUUUUUCCCCUCUUCUCAGCUUCGUUUUCUUUCUUUCUCCUUAUCUCCCUUCCUCUCUAUUCUCUUUUUCUCCCUCUUCUCGCCUUCGUUUUCUCUUUUUUCUUCUUUUCCUUCCUCUCUAUCCCUUUUCCUCCUCUUAGCCUCGUUUUCUUUUCCGUUUCAUGUUCCUUCUUUGUCCCUUUUCUUUUCCUGUUUUCAUCUCCGUAUUCUCUUUUCUUAUCUUUCUUCUUUGUCCUUUAUCAUUUCCUCUCUCUCUCUCUCUCUCUCUCUCUCUCUCUCUCUCUCUCUCUCUCUCUCUCUCUCUCUCUCUCUCUCUCU